rnacentral:rRNA from 1 species
UCCGUAGGUGAACCUGCGGAGGGAUCAUUACUGAGUUUACGCUCUACAACCCUUUGUGAACAUACCUAUAACUGUUGCUUCGGCGGGCAGGGUCUCCGUGACCCUCCCGGCCUCCCGCCCCCGGGCGGGUCGGCGCCCGCCGGAGGAUAACCAAACUCUGAUUUAACGACGUUUCUUCUGAGUGGUACAAGCAAAUAAUCAAAACUUUUAACAACGGAUCUCUUGGUUCUGGCAUCGAUGAAGAACGCAGCGAAAUGCGAUAAGUAAUGUGAAUUGCAGAAUUCAGUGAAUCAUCGAAUCUUUGAACGCACAUUGCGCCCGCCAGCAUUCUGGCGGGCAUGCCUGUUCGAGCGUCAUUUCAACCCUCAAGCUCUGCUUGGUGUUGGGGCCCUACAGCUGAUGUAGGCCCUCAAAGGUAGUGGCGGACCCUCCCGGAGCCUCCUUUGCGUAGUAACUUUACGUCUCGCACUGGGAUCCGGAGGGACUCUUGCCGUAAAACCCCCAAUUUUCCAAAGGUUGACCUCGGAUCAGGUAGGAAUACCCGCUGAACUUAAGCAUAUCAAUAAGCGGAGG